rnacentral:snoRNA from 1 species
AGCCUCAUUCCAGAUGUGAAUAAGCACAGUUGAGCAUCGUGUUCAGAAUUGCAAAUUGGCUAAAUUGAGACGCAGGUUAUGCUUCCAUCACAGUAAAUUUAUUGCCGUGGUGACAGUGAGUCCUGUAACAGAU